CAUGGCUUUCAGCCUGGUGCCAUGAUUGGAUGACGUUUUGCAAGAUCCUGGGAUGGAUGUACCAUAUAUUGCCUUUGGAGGGGUCAAGAUGGGAGAAUAUAAAUCUGAAUGAAGCAUAUAUCCUGUCCCAAUGAGUUUACAAGUCUGAGAAGAGACACAUGCAAAGGAGCGCAUACUAAGACAGAAAGGAGACAUUUUCAAGAAACCAAGAUGAGUUCAACAUGACUACAGCAUAAAGCUAAUUGGGACUGGGAAAGAGUUAAGGCUAGAAGUUUGAAGGAGUUGACAUGAGAGAGCUGGUGUAUGCCAUGCUAAAAUAAUUCUUUU
rnacentral:lncRNA from 10 species